rnacentral:lncRNA from 1 species
AUUCAACUAUACUGAAAAGAUUCAGAAAAGGAAUUGGGGCAACGUCUCGUCUCUUGGAGGCUGUUUAGUAGAAAUUCAUAAAAGUCCCUCACUAGAUCAAGGAGUUUGUUUGUUAAUUAAUAUGAGUGGAAGAUCUUGGUGCACACGAUCCUGGAAGACACCUGGCCAAGCAUGAAAUGGAUGGGAGCCAAUCACAAGCGUUAUUCUCUGCAAGUCCACUUUCUUUAACUUUUUUUUGACAAUUAUAUUCAACUGACGUGAGAAUACUCUUCUCUGACAGAAAUUCUCAUCUGUAUCUCA